UUUCGGGACAAGAGAGACAGGUGGUGCAUGGUAGUCGUCAGCUCGUGUCGUGAGAUGUUGGGUUAAGUCCCGCAACGAGCGCAACCCUUAAUUUUAGUUGCCAGCCGUAAGAGGGGCACUCUAGAAUGACUGCCGGUGACAAACCGGAGGAAGGUGGGGAUGACGUCAAAUCAUCAUGCCCCUUAUGACCUGGGCUACACACGUACUACAAUGGCCGGUACAACGGGAAGCGAGACCGCGAGGUGGAGCGAAUCCUAUAAAAGCCGGUCUCAGUUCGGAUUGCAGGCUGCAACUCGCCUGCAUGAAGUCGGAAUUGCUAGUAAUCGCGGAUCAGCAUGCCGCGGUGAACACGUUCCCGGGUCUUGUACACACCGCCCGUCACACCACGAGAGUUUACAACACCCGAAGUCGGUGAGGG
rnacentral:rRNA from 1 species